UUGGAAGUUGUAAAAUCCAUUAAUUUGGUAAAAUCCUUGAAUAAAUAGUUUAAAAUUUACGAUCUCAUCUUCCCGAGUUGCCUAAGAAUUUGAAUUCAACCGUGAACAUUUGUGACUUUUGAUGCUUUUCAUUCUUCUGUGUUUUGUUGGGAUUGGAUUUGUCAAUGUUAAAGAAAGAAAAGAUUCUUUUAGGUUUCAGGAGCGAUAUUGAAGCUUAUUGGUUUGAAUUUAUGUUAUAGGUUUAUUGAUUAGUUAUAGUGCAUCUGGAGGUUAAUACUAUAUCGUUAAUGAAGUAAUAAAAUGACUAAAAUUACAACCCCAUUUGAAAACCAAAAUGAUAACAUUUUAAGAGUAUAUGAAUUAUGGAUAAAGUAAUAAUUUUUACGAUGCACAAAAUGGAAGAAAAAUUUUGGGUGGGUUUUGAAUAUGCAGAGUAUAUAGUGCUUUCCUUGAUUUUUAGAAUAUUUGACG
rnacentral:lncRNA from 1 species